AGAGUUUGAUCCUGGCUCAGAUUGAACGCUGGCGGCAUGCUUUACACAUGCAAGUCGAACGCGGGUGAGGGGCAACUCUCACCUGAGUGGCGAACGGGUGAGUAAUACAUCGGAACGUGUCCCGUAGUGGGGGAUAACCCGGCGAAAGCCGGACUAAUACCGCAUAUGCUCCACGGAGGAAAGUGGGGGACCCGCAAGGGCCUCAUGCCAUGGGAGCGGCCGAUGUCCGAUUAGCUUGUUGGCGGGGUAACGGCCCACCAAGGCGACGAUCGGUAGCUGGUCUGAGAGGAUGAUCAGCCACACUGGGACUGAGACACGGCCCAGACUCCUACGGGAGGCAGCAGUGGGGAAUUUUGGACAAUGGGGGCAACCCUGAUCCAGCCAUGCCGCGUGAGUGAAGAAGGCCUUCGGGUUGUAAAGCUCUUUUGGCCGGAAAGAAAAGGCUGCGGAUAACACCUGCGGCUCUUGACGGUACCGGCAGAAUAAGCACCGGCUAACUA
rnacentral:rRNA from 1 species